GCUCGCUUCGGCAGCACAUAUACUAAAAUUGGAACGAUACAGAGAAGAUUAGCAUGGCCCCUGAGCAAGCAGAAAAGUUGUUUUCCUUCAUUUGCAAGGAAUUGUA